AACGGCUACCGAGGCUCCAGCUUAACGGUAUUUGGAGGUCAGCACGGUGCUCACAGAAGCCAGGAACUUGUCCAGGGAGGCGUGCACCGCAGGGGUGAACUCGGCGGGGAGGUGGGCGGCCAGGGUCACCAGCAGGCAGUGGCUUAGGACUUGAAGUUGACCGGGUCCACCCGAAGCUUGUGCGCGUGCAGGUCGCUCAGGGCGGACAGCGCGUUGGGCAUGUCGUCCACGUGCGCCACGGCGUUGGUCAGCGCGUCGGCCACCUUCUUGCCGUGGCCCUUAACCUGGGCAGAGCCGUGGCUCAGGUCGAAGUGCG
rnacentral:lncRNA from 1 species